CAGCAGCGCGGGAAAACAGAGGGUGCGAGCGUUAAUCGGAUUUACUGGGCGUAAAGCGUGCGUAGGCGGCUUCUUAAGUCGGAUGUGAAAUCCCUGAGCUUAACUUAGGAAUUGCAUUCGAUACUGGGAAGCUAGAGUAUGGGAGAGGAUGGUAGAAUUCCAGGUGUAGCGGUGAAAUGCGUAGAGAUCUGGAGGAAUACCGAUGGCGAAGGCAGCCAUCUGGCCUAAUACUGACGCUGAGGUACGAAAGCAUGGGGAGCAAACAGGAUUAGAUACCCCCGUAGUCCCUGUCUCUUAUACA
rnacentral:rRNA from 1 species